CUCAUCCAUCCAAACCACCCCAUUUUUUUUCUUUAAAACCACAGCCACUUUCACCAUUCUCACACCACCAUUUUCAACUACUGCAGCCCAAUUUCACAGCCAAAUUUAAGAGACUAUUAUCCACCUACUCAAGGUAUCAUCACCCUCAGGGAACCACCAAUUCAUACCAAUUCAUACGGCUGUUCUGAUAUUUCACAACAUGUUUACAUAUGCACAUAUGAACUGAAAUUUACAGUAUUUGAUUUUUGCUCAAAAUCCUAUGCUAUUUUGUGAACUGAAUUGUGGUGUGUAAGGUUCAACUUCAUACUCCUAUUCUCAACUACAUUUCCGUAAUCUUCAGAAACAAAGAAGAAUUUGUACAGAACCUUUGGAAACAAGAAAACCUAAGGACAUAACAUUUAUACAAUUUCAGAUUUCUCCAAGAACCCAUCUUUCUUUUCUUCAAAUCUGAGUUGAAUCCUUCUUGCUUACCUUCGGAGAGAGAGUGAGAGUCGAGAAAGUGGUGAGAGCUGGGAGGGGGUCUGUCGGAGCCUCACUCUGAGUUGACGAAGUCGCAGCUGCCGGUGCUGCAGGUGGCAGCAGCCCACUGACCGCUCGUAGCUAAAGCAGGCGGAGGCCCAAGACGGACGGCUGUUGGCUGGUAGGAGGCGAGGCGGCGUGACCCGAAGCGAUGCGAGACGCCGUCGCACGGGGUGGCGCUGCCGAAGGCCAAGCGCCGCUAGCCACUGCGAGAACGGAGCAGCAGCAGCAAGCUCUCGUCCGCUGCCGGAAACGUGAUGGAAAGAGAGGGCAGAUGGGAGGCGGCGAGCGUGUGAGGA